rnacentral:lncRNA from 1 species
GCCUUUUGAAAAUAAAUUUCACAACCAAUACAAUUGAACUAACAAAUAACUAGUAUAUUUUUGGGCAAAAAAAAAAAAAGACAUUAAAUGCUGUAUCAUUGGCAAGACUGUUCGUUACAAAUGAUCAAGAUUAUUUAAUGCAUUCAUUUGAAAUCAUCUGUGAAAGGUGAUGGACAUAAGUAGUGCUUAAUAAAGAACAAAGAAAAAUUAGACUAAAAAAAAAAUAUUUGAAAAUUUUUUGAUAGUCUGAAGGUUAAUUUAACAUAUUUACAUUAACAUGGUUACAGAGAGUAAAUUUC